UACGGAAGGUCCGGGCGUUAUCCGGAUUUAUUGGGUUUAAAGGGAGCGUAGGCUGGAGAUUAAGCGUGUUGUGAAAUGUAGAUGCUCAACAUCUGAACUGCAGCGCGAACUGGUUUCCUUGAGUACGCAUAAAGUGGGCGGAAUUCGUGGUGUAGCGGUGAAAUGCUUAGAUAUCACGAAGAACUCCGAUUGCGAAGGCAGCUCACUGGGGCGCAACUGACGCUGAAGCUCGAAAGCGCGGGUAUCGAACAGG
rnacentral:rRNA from 1 species